UACCAACCUUAAUUUCGUCCAUUGAGGUAGUUCGCGCCAAAACGCGAGCUAGUUACGCUUGAGUCACAUACGAUUCGCGUAGCAACACUGACAAAGUGCGGGAAACCCGUAGGAAUUGUUUACAACUCUCCGCCAGCGAUGGUGCAGAGCAAUCAGGUUAAUUGCCUCGAUUACUGUAAAAACAUCAAUUUCAUAAACGGCAAUCCGCAGCCAAGUAGUACAAUAGAUAAGUACUAUGCAGUUAAACGACUAAAUGUUAGUGGGGGAGUCGAGUAAAUUUUACGAGGCUCUCUUAAGAUAUAGUCUAUUCGCUACAGAAAUGUAGUC
rnacentral:ncRNA from 1 species